rnacentral:rRNA from 1 species
AGAGUUUGAUCAUGGCUCAGGACGAACGCUGGCGGCAUGCCUAACACAUGCAAGUCGAACGAGACCUUCGGGUCUAGUGGCGCACGGGUGCGUAACGCGUGGGAACCUGCCUUUAGGUUCGGAAUAACUCAGAGAAAUUUGAGCUAAUACCGGAUAAUGUCUUCGGACCAAAGAUUUAUCGCCUUUAGAUGGGCCCGCGUUGGAUUAGCUAGUUGGUGGGGUAAAGGCCUACCAAGGCGACGAUCCAUAGCUGGUCUGAGAGGAUGAUCAGCCACACUGGGACUGAGACACGGCCCAGACUCCUACGGGAGGCAGCAGUGGGGAAUAUUGGACAAUGGGCGCAAGCCUGAUCCAGCCAUGCCGCGUGAGUGACGAAGGUCUUCGGAUUGUAAAGCUCUUUUGGCGGGGACGAUAAUGACGGUACCCGCAGAAUAAGCCCCGGCUAACUUCGUGCCAGCAGCCGCGGUAAUACGAAGGGGGCUAGCGUUGUUCGGAAUCACUGGGCGUAAAGAGCUCGUAGGUGGUUUGUCGCGUUGUUCGUGAAAACUCACAGCUUAACUGUGGGCGUGCGGGCGAUACGGGCAGACUAGAGUACUGCAGGGGAGACUGGAAUUCCUGGUGUAGCGGUGGAAUGCGCAGAUAUCAGGAGGAACACCGGUGGCGAAGGCGGGUCUCUGGGCAGUAACUGACGCUGAGGAGCGAAAGCGUGGGGAGCGAACAGGAUUAGAUACCCUGGUAGUCCAA